AGCUUGCUGGGGUGGAUGAGUGGCGAACGGGUGAGUAACACGUGAGUAACCUUCCCUUGACUCUGGGAUAAGCCUGGGAAACCGGGUCUAAUACCGGAUGCGACCGUCCACCGCAUGGUGGGGGGUGGAAAGAUUUAUCGGUCUUGGAUGGACUCGCGGCCUAUCAGCUUGUUGGUGGGGUAAUGGCCCACCAAGGCGACGACGGGUAGCCGGCCUGAGAGGGUGACCGGCCACACUGGGACUGAGACACGGCCCAGACUCCUACGGGAGGCAGCAGUGGGGAAUAUUGCACAAUGGGCGCAAGCCUGAUGCAGCGACGCCGCGUGAGGGAUGACGGCCUUCGGGUUGUAAACCUCUUUCAGUAGGGAAGAAGCGAAAGUGACGGUACCUGCAGAAGAAGCGCCGGCUAACUACGUGCCAGCAGCCGCGGUAAUACGUAGGGCGCGAGCGUUAUCCGGAAUUAUUGGGCGUAAAGAGCUCGUAGGCGGUUUGUCACGUCUGCCGUGAAAGUCCGGGGCUUAACCCCGGAUCUGCGGUGGGUACGGGCAGACUGGAGUGCAGUAGGGGAGACUGGAAUUCCUGGUGUAGCGGUGAAAUGCGCAGAUAUCAGGAGGAACACCGAUGGCGAAGGCAGGUCUCUGGGCUGUUACUGACGCUGAGGAGCGAAAGCAUGGGGAGCGAACAGGAUUAGAUACCCUGGUAGUCCAUGCCGUAAACGUUGGGCACUAGGUGUGGGGGCCAUUCCACGGUUUCCGCGCCGCAGCUAACGCAUUAAGUGCCCCGCCUGGGGAGUACGGCCGCAAGGCUAAAACUCAAAGGAAUUGACGGGGGCCCGCACAAGCGGCGGAGCAUGCGGAUUAAUUCGAUGCAACGCGAAGAACCUUACCAAGGCUUGACAUGUUCCCGACCGCCACAGAGAUGUGGUUUCCCCUUUGGGGCGGGUUCACAGGUGGUGCAUGGUUGUCGUCAGCUCGUGUCGUGAGAUGUUGGGUUAAGUCCCGCAACGAGCGCAACCCUCGUUCCAUGUUGCCAGCGGGUUAUGCCGGGGACUCAUGGGAGACUGCCGGGGUCAACUCGAAGGAAGGUGGGGACGACGUCAAAUCAUCAUGCCCCUUAUGUCUUGGGCUUCACGCAUGCUACAAUGGCCGGUACAAUGGGUUGCGAUACUGUGAGGUGGAGCUAAUCCCAAAAAGCCGGU
rnacentral:rRNA from 1 species